AGGGGGUGGUGUAGUGGGAGCACCAGGAGUUUUGAUCUCCUGAGCGUGGGUUCGACCCCCGCCCCCCUA
rnacentral:tRNA from 1 species